rnacentral:lncRNA from 1 species
CAGUGCUCCUCUUUUCUUUUAGUCGUUUCCCCCCACCGAGCCCAUAGGAGCUCACGUCCUCUCGCUUCAAAUCAUAGUGAUCAUUCCAGCGUCGAGUUGCAAUUGGUGGCGUUAUCAGGUGAGUCGUAUUGGCUGCAACUGUUAUUAACGAUACCGUGCAUGUUUGUGUGAACUCUAUAUGUUCUUGAAAUGCCAUUUGCAAGCUUGGAUUCGUUAGCUUUAUUUUCUGCUUGAUUGAUGAUGCGC